rnacentral:piRNA from 1 species
UAAUAACCACCAACCCCAGUGAUCGGAUCC